GUUUGAGUCAAAGUCAAGACCGAGUCCACAGAGGUCCGAGUCAAGACCGAGUCCAAAGAGGUCCGAGUCCGAGUCAAGACCAAGUCCAAAGAGGUCCGAGUCUGAGACAAGACCGAGUCCAAAGAGGUUCGCGUCAAGACCGAGUCCAAAGAGGUUCGCGUCCAAGACAAGACCGAGUCCAAAGAGGUCCGAGUCCAGACCGAGUCCAAGGAGGUUUGAGUCCAAGACAAGACCGAGUCCAAAGAGGUUUGAGUCAAAGUCAAGACCGAGUCCACAGAGGUCCGAGUCAAGACCAAGUCCAAAGAGGUCUGAGUCCAGACCGAGUCCAAAGAGGUCAGAGUCCGAGUCAAGACCGAGUCCUGGAUGUUUGUAUAAGCAGAUUUGAUCAUGGCAGAAUUGGCGGACAUCUUUGUUUGUUCCAGUGUGUGUGAAUCAGUGAAAAUGAACAUGUGGUCCUCCACGUUUCCUUCUUCUAACCCGCCGGGGCGGGGUCGGACUAUACCGUUAGCACUGUUAGCACCGUUAGCACCGUUAGCAGCAAUAGCAGCACCUGUGAGUGUAUCGUGUGACAGCAAAAACACGAACAGUACGGAGCGGGACGUCCUGUAUGUCCCUCACCGGCUGCCGUAUUUCAAGAUGGAGCAUGAACGUGGAGCGUCUGCCCCACUUCAUGCUAAUGCUAAUGCUAAUGUAACAUUUCAAGCCAAUAGGAAUACUUGGAACUGACGGUGGUGGAUGAUAUUUAUGAAAAAGGACGAGUUUGUGAACGGGCAACACCGAUUAUGAUAAUAAACAACGACACACGUUACACGCCGGGGCUUUAACUCUCUAUUGCAUGAAUGUUUUUUUUUAAACAUGGUAAACAUGUAUUGAUGUGUCUAAAUAAUGCAAUUGGAAAAAAAAGUAGUUGGUAAUCUGUGUGAAAGUGCCAAGAAAUACAUUUUUUCCUUUAAAAACAUGCUUUUAUUGGGAAAAAUACCAAACAAUUUCAGCUUAUAUGCCACAUGGCAACAAAUUAAUUUGAGCCUUUUACAGAAAAAAAAUAGCAUUUUAACUAGUUUAAGUGAUGAAAAUUAAAAGUUUACUUACCCCAGAUAACAGUUAAAUUUGUCUUUUUCCAAAGAAUUGCUGGAGGGGGGGGGGGGGGGGGGGGUUCCUGGUUAUGUGAAGUCAUCAAAGUAAUUACACUUCAAAAUCUCGCUUCAACACUUUCACUUCAAAAGACCUAUUUACACAAUUAAACAGAAAACAAUGCAUUUUACAUGGUUUAUUGUGGAAUAAAACACAGAAAACACACCACGCAUUAGAGGGUUAAUGGCGUCAACGUUUGUAGUUUUAUUAUAAAGCGUUAUAAAGUUUAACGUGUCUAUGAAAUGAAAGCAGACAGAGAGGAUGAUGGGGGUUGUUGUUUCUCUGCAGCAGAAAUAAAGUGAACGUUCAGACU